rnacentral:rRNA from 1 species
GUACACACCGCCCGUCACACCAUGGGAGUUGGCUUURCCCGAAGMYGGUGCGCUAACCCGYAAGGGAGGCAGCCRGCCACGGUARGGUCAGCGACUGGGGUGAAGUCGUAACAAGGUAGCCGUAGGUGAACCUGCAGAAGGAUCA